GCUAGGCCACACAGCCGUAAGGCCUCUGUAAGCCGGCUCAGGCUGCCAAUUCUCCUCAAUCUCUGUCCUGUCCUAAUGACUAGUUUUACAGGAUGGUGAGAAAUGUCAGCCAAGUCGUUUCCAUUCCCUCAGAUUAGUGUGAAAGAUAACUUCUGUUGGUUCAUUUAGCAUCAAUUCACCACCUCAUCAUCCCAUGCAGUCCUCAAUUACAGAAGCUGAAAAGUCAAGGGGCUCGCUCCUAGCUUCCAUGGUUGUGGUUAUGCCACGUGACCUGUCCUAGCCAAUGAACAUACUACAAUGGGGGAACCAAUGGGUAAGAAGCUUCUUAUCUUCUGUUACACCACCGCCCUGUGUUUUGUCUUGGACUUAAGUGGGAUGGCUGAGUGCAGAGAUCCUCUCUGAAAGCUGCUAAAGAACAAGAAUGAAGAAUGCCAUACCAAGACGGUAGAGAGGUGAAACAGAAACAGCCUGGAAACAAGCUAUGCUUACAGUUUUAAGGACUCUGUUAAUCACAUCGUCACUUUUCUAGAGGUCCUUAACUACUAGUGAUUCAUGAUGAAAUACCUAUAGGUUAAGUACUGUGUUUAGAGCUUGCUUCAAAGUCGUUCAGUGGAAGCUGCUGGAAAGAAUACAUGCGCAGUGCUUUACAGCUUCAGUUCUUCAGUUCUCCAAUGAAUCGGUAAAUGCAACAGAGCCGGGAUCUCAUACAAAAGCAGUAAAAAUACAAAUACACAGUAAAGUAAUAAAGAUGUGCGAGACACACAUGAAAAAAAAACCAUGAAACUUUGUCAGAGAGAAAAGGAAAAGCUGAAUGUAGACAGCAUCACUGUGUUCUCUGACGGAAAGACACCGAGUGGCUUUCAUCUUAAAAAUAUUGCCGGCCAUAAAUGGGGUGCAGAAAUGAACUAAAUUGGCUUGUAUUUCUCAAUGAAAAACAUAGCUGGGGAACACAUUUACAAGAUAACAGAAGAGAAACCUCCCAUGAUCAAAGGGAUCCUAGAAAUGACCCCCCCCAAAACACCAGCCAUCAAAGUGAAAAUUGAUAAAUUAGACUCCAUCUUAAGACGAUGCUCUGGAAGAGACUUUGUUAAGAGAAGAAAAAGACAAGCAACAACCAGGCCAAAGCAAUUACAUAUCACAUGUAACAAAUAUGAGUGGCUUUUUCUGCUACAAAAAGAAACAUGGGACCCUCGAUGCAGCAUCAGUAAGGAUGUCAGGAAAAGAUAUAAGGAGAUGGACCAGCGGUUGAAGUACCUGCUGUGUAUUCAAGAGACUUGUAUGUAUCUCCAGAAGCCACAUAGUGCCAGUUGGACAUGGGGACUUGCCUGGGACUUGUCUGUAAUUCCUGCCACAGAAGCUGAAAAUGGGAUCUUCAGAGCAAGCUGAUAGUUACAAUACCUUAUGGAGGCCUCUGAAUUUGACUGAGAGACUCUGACUCUCAAAUGCAAAAUCCAUUGAGGAAGAUUCCUAAUAUCAUGCCAAUACAUGCACGUGCAUGUACAACUGCCCAAAACUGGGUACACACAUGUGACCACACAUAAAUGCAUUUAUACAGCACACACACACAUACACACACACACACACACACACAGAGAGAGAGAGAGAGAGAGAGAGAGAGAGAGAGAGAGAGAGAGAGAGAGAGAGAGGAAAAAUUACUUCAAGGAUGCAUCAUGGGGACUUUAGCAGUGUAAGGCCCUAUGUGACCACACAGAUGGCUCAGCCAAACAAAGAAUCUGCAUCCAGAGUAUAUAAAGAAUUUAAAAAUUUACUAGUAAUGUAAAUUUACUACUAAUGUCUUAAAACUAGGCAGCAAUUGGCAUAGAUAUUUCUUGAGAGAAGAUAUGAUGGUUCAGAAACACAUGAAAAGAUGUUCAACACUAUCAGUCAUUAGAAAGUCACCAGGGAAUCCCACUGAGAUACCAUUUCACACUUACAAGAAUAAUUUCAGUGGAAACUUAAAUGCAAUACCAGCAAGGCUGGGCUGCACAUGCCUUUAUAUCCCAGCACUUAGGAGGCAGAUGCAGGUAUGGGUGUCUGUGAGCUCCAGGCCAGCCUUGACGUUGUUUUAGGCAGUGUCCUAUUACUGUAAAGAGAUCCCAAGACCAUGGCAACUUGUAUAAAGGAAAACAUUCAAUUGGAUCUUGCUUACAGUCUCAGAGGUCUGGUCCAUUAUCAGCAUGGCAGGCAGUAUGGUGGCGUGAAGGCAGACAUAGUGCUGGAGGAGUUGAGAGUUCUAUAUCGAGAGAGAGAGAGAGAGAGAGAGAGAGAGAGAGAGAGAGAGAGAGAGAGAGAAAGGGAGAGAGACAGACAGAGAGACACAGAGAGAGACAGAGAGAGACACAGAGAGAGACACAGAGAGACACAGAGAGAGACACAGAGAGAGACACAGAGAGGGAGACAGAGAGGGAGACAGAGAGAGAGAGAGGGAGGAGAGAGGAGAGAGGAGAGAGAUUAGAUGGAUAGAUAGAUAGAUAGAUAGAUAGAUAGAUAGAUAGGUAGAUUCCAAAGACCACCCCUAAUGACACACUUCCUCCAACUAGGCCACAUCAACUCCAACAAAGCCACACCUCCUAAUCAUACCACUCCCUGCUGACCAAACAUUCAGAUCUCUGAGCCUAUGGGGAACCAUUCUGAUUCAAACCACCACCAUUAUACAGAGCUACAAAGAGAAACCCUGACUCAAACAAACAAACCUACAAACAAAGAAACAAAAUUAUAAUACAAGCUGCCAAACAUAAUAUGGAGGAGCUAAUACUUAUACUGUUGGUACCUGAUCUGGAACAGUUUGGCAGUUUCUUAUGUUAGAUCUAUACAUGUUUGUCAACCCUUGAUUUAAUUCCAGGAAAAAAAAACAUAUGUAUGUCCAUAAAAGCUAUUCUGUGUCUUGA